GAUGAACGCUGGCGGCGUGCCUAAUACAUGCAAGUCGAGCGAACAGACGAGGAGCUUGCUCCUCUGACGUUAGCGGCGGACGGGUGAGUAACACGUGGAUAACCUACCUAUAAGACUGGGAUAACUUCGGGAAACCGGAGCUAAUACCGGAUAAUAUAUUGAACCGCAUGGGUCAAUAGUGAAAGACGGUUUUGCUGUCACUUAUAGAUGGAUCCGCGCCGCAUUAGCUAGUUGGUAAGGUAACGGCUUACCAAGGCAACGAUGCGUAGCCGACCUGAGAGGGUGAUCGGCCACACGGGAACUGUGACACGGUCCAGACUCCUACGGGAGGCAGCAGUAGGGAAUCUUCCGCAAUGGGCGAAAGCCUGACGGAGCAACGCCGCGUGAGUGAUGAAGGUCUUCGGAUCGUAAAACUCUGUUAUUAGGGAAGAACAAAUGUGUAAGUAACUAUGCACGUCUUGACGGUACCUAAUCAGAGAGCCACGGCUAACUACGUGCCAGCCGCCGCGGUAACAC
rnacentral:rRNA from 1 species